AAUUACUUAGCUAAUAUAAGUAUUUGCUUUGAAAACAAAUGAUAGUAAAUCUAGUUGAAUCC
rnacentral:tRNA from 1 species